rnacentral:misc_RNA from 1 species
CACCACUCAAGCUAUGCUUGGUAUUGGGCGUCGUCCUUAGUUGGGCGCGCCUUAAAGACCUCGGCGAGGCCUCACCGGCUUUAGGCGUAGUAGAAUUUAUUCGAACGUCUGUCAAUGGAGAGGACUUCUGCCGACUGAAACCUUUAUUUUUUACA